UAGGCAAUCUUCGGCAAUGGACGAAAGUCUGACCGAGCAACGCCGCGUGAGUGAAGAAGGUUUUCGGAUCGUAAAACUCUGUUGUUAGAGAAGAACAAGGACGUUAGUAACUGAACGUCCCCUGACGGUAUCUAACCAGAAAGCCACGGCUAACUACGUGCCAGCAGCCGCGGUAAUACGUAGGUGGCAAGCGUUGUCCGGAUUUAUUGGGCGUAAAGCGAGCGCAGGCGGUUUCUUAAGUCUGAUGUGAAAGCCCCCGGCUCAACCGGGGAGGGUCAUUGGAAACUGGGAGACUUGAGUGCAGAAGAGGAGAGUGGAAUUCCAUGUGUAGCGGUGAAAUGCGUAGAUAUAUGGAGGAACACCAGUGGCGAAGGCGGCUCUCUGGUCUGUAACUGACGCUGAGGCUCGAAAGCGUGGGGAGCAAACAGG
rnacentral:rRNA from 1 species